rnacentral:rRNA from 1 species
AAGGCCUUCGGGUCGUAAAACUCUGUCCUCAAGGAAGAUAAUGACGGUACUUGAGGAGGAAGCCCCGGCUAACUACGUGCCAGCAGCCGCGGUAAUACGUAGGGGGCUAGCGUUAUCCGGAUUUACUGGGCGUCAAGGGUGCGUAGGCGGUCUUUCAAGUCAGGAGUGAAAGGCUACGGCUCAACCGUAGUAAGCUCUUGAAACUGGGAGACUUGAGUGCAGGAGAGGAGAGUGGAAUUCCUAGUGUAGCGGUGAAAUGCGUAGAUAUUAGGAGGAACACCAGUUGCGAAGGCGGCUCUCUGGACUGU